rnacentral:lncRNA from 1 species
UGCAAAAUUACAAAUUAUAUUAUUGUUGUAAUUAUAUGCAGAUUAAAAUUUGGUGUUUGAUAUGUUUGAAUUUAACUGUUACAGUUGGUAUUAUACGAGAAGUCUUAACUGUAGUAGUUUAAACUACGCUUAAACUGGUGCUGCAGUUCCAAUUGUUACAGCAUACUUUCUACUCUAUCCAACUAAAUAAAAUGUAAAAAAUUAUAUAUGAAUUUUCUUAACUGGACGUAUCUCUAACUGCACCAUAUAUAUAAUUACGUCAAAUCAAAGUGCCCUUAGCUUUUCCUUUUCUCGAGUAAAAUGGGUUUUUAAAGAAGAAAAAGUUAUGAACUGGAUUUCAAUGUCUUUUUUAUUUAUUUAGCUAAGGAAAAACAAAAAAAAUAAUAAUAAUAGCCAAUCGAUGUUGUUACAUUCAUUGUUCAUCAACCGGUGUUAUUACAUUCUUCUUCUUCUUUUUUUCCUUUACUUCUACUGUUUUAUUUCCUCGUAUUCCAGUUUUUCUUUUUUUUUAUUGCAUUAUUUAAACUCUAUCAUUUCAUUAUAUUUUCUCCAAAAAAUCACUACAUAAGCACAAUAGGUUCUUUAUAUAUAUAUAUGGGCCAUGGCUACUAUUCUAUUAUGAGUAUUGGAGCCCUCGUACUCAUAAGUUAUUUUUAAUGAUAGAGUUUCCGAAUCGACGAUCCAUUUCGUUAAAUAUGAUCUAGAGUAUUUGAAACUUCUAGAAAAUAAAUUUUGUAAAUUUUCAAAAUCAUAAUAAAGUCCAUCAAGUGGGCAUAAAAUGAACGGUUAAAAUCGAACGACGUCCUAAAAAAGGAUGAUCGGAUCCUUCAAUUCAAGAUCGGAGUUAUUGAUCUUUAUUUAUGUAGUGAAUAGAAUUUUCUAUCAAAAAUUCAACAAAUUUCGAUUCUUUUACACUGUUAAACUAGCAAGUAUCCCAUACCGGCCGUUAAAAAUUGUCAAAUUUGUGACAUCUUUAUCGUAAGGUAAAUGAUGUCGAAAAUUUAUAAAAUUUAAUUUCUAGAAGUUUUAAAUGCUGUAAAUAACGUUUAACAGUGUGGAUCGUCGAUUCGGAAGCUCUAUCAUUGAAAACAACUUAUGAGUACGAGGCGAUCGUACUCAUAAUAGUAUAGUAGCCAGACCAUAUAUAUAUAUGUAUAUAUAAUAUAUAUAUAUAUGUAUAUAUAUAUAUAUAUAUAUAUAUGUAUAUAUAUGUAUAUAUAUAUAUAUAUGUAUAUAUAUAUAUAUAUAUAUAUAUGUAUUAUAUAUAUAUAUAUAUAUAUAUAUGUAUAGUUAAAUGCCAUAAUAGGUCUCUGCAAAUAUAAUGAAUUGCAAAUAUAUUCCUACAAAAUUCAACUUUCAUAUAUUGUUUCUACAAAAGUUCUAAUAUUUUCAAAUAUGUAUCUCUAGUUUGUUACCGUUAGAGAACACUUCGAGAACUAUUUAUGUUUUCAAUUUUACCAUCACAAAUGUGCCCAUUCAAAAGCCACAACAGUAUAAUAGAAGAGGGACAAAAAUAUCAAGUUAUCUUAUAAACUAACCAGGAUUAAGUAUUUAAUAUAUGAUUAGCUAAAUUUUUCUAACGUAUUCUAACGACAGAAACAUAUUUAAAAAUAUUAAAACUUUUAUAAAGACAAUAUAUGAAAAUUGAACUUUAUAGUAAUAUACUUGUAAUUUACUAUAUUUACAAGAAGCUGUAUGAAUUUAACCG